AACGCACCUUGCGCUCCUUGGUAUUCCGAGGAGCAUGCCUGUUUGAGUGUCAUUAAUAUCUAUAUCAACCUUCUCUUGUAGAGUGUGGUUUGGAUGUGGGGGUUUGCUGGCCUCUUUAAAGGUGUCAGCUCCCCUGAAAUGCAUUAGCGGAACAACCUCGUUCAUUGGUGUGAUAACUAUCUACGCUAUUGGAUGUGAGGGACAGUUCAGCCGUCUAACAGUCCACGGACAAUUUAUCAUCAUUAAUGUGACCUCAAAUCAGGUAGGACUACCCGCUGAACUUAA
rnacentral:misc_RNA from 1 species